rnacentral:lncRNA from 1 species
GACUCUGGAGGGAGAUGGACAGCUGAAACUAGGAGCCUGGCGAUCCCGCGAGGCAGAGAUCGCCGAUCUUGUUGGGGUGUGCGCGCUGCGCUAGUCAGGGCUGGGUGGACAGUGGGGCAGGUGUACCGCAGCACAAGUCACCAGCUCCCACUGGUCACGUCUCUCUAUUGCGUCGGGCCGCCGCUGCAACCCACUCGAGCGUUCUGCGGCCCGUAGGCUUGCCGCAGCCACUGGGUCCCUCAGCGGGACCGGCUUUCGCCGAGGAAUCGCCAGCUCCCGGAGCUGCCUGCAGGGGCGGGGCCGGAGCGCGGUCCUGAGGCCUGACGUCACCCUGGAGCUUCAGUGGGUGGGAGCCGCUGCUUGCGGCUCACCUGCAGUGGGGGAGGGGAGCCUCUCGGGCUGGGCGCUAAAGCUCUGUCCUGACCGGGCUGCAACCCUGUGGCGGCCGGAGUCCCCCCUUACUGAUGCUUCCUUCCUCUCGUGACCCGCCGCAGUUGGAUGUUUGCUUGCUCUGCCUCUUAGGCAGGGCUGAGAUUCCAAAAAUACGAGAAGCAAACGGGCCUGGCAGAGAAGACCAGAGAGCGACUUCAUUUGUUCACUCACUCAUUCAUUCCAGCUCUCUAUGGAAGAGGAACUGGGUAGGGCUUGCAGGAUUCCUGUGCUGUUGUCAUAGCCCCUAGGGCUAAAGAACCAGUGGUUCAAGUGCCUUAGAAAGGUUCAUGGACCUCAGGUGGGAGUGGGCUUCCAAAAUAAGGAAACUGGAAAAUUGAAGUUAAAAAAAAAAUGUAAUGAAAUGUCUGCAGAAUCUAGUCAACUCUUAAUUAUACAUGUAUAAAUAUAAUAAAGUAAAAAAAUCACAAGAGCCAAAUGGAUUAUUGUUCUUAUAAAAAGAUAAAUAUAAAAUACUUUAUUUUAAAACUGCCUCAGGAUUUUAUGUAUUUAGUAUUGUAUAUAUGUGUGUGUUUUAAUGGAUACUUUGUAAAUGCCUGAGAAACUUCUAGACUGAUUUUUUUUUUUAAAGUGAGAAAAAAAAUGAAAACAAGGCAGGAAGUGAUAAGAAAGGGUUGGUGGAAUUCAGAGAAAUCUCCAAGGCAGCUGAAUGCAGAGCCCUUCCGGGGGAAGUGAGAAUUCUUUGUCCUUUGUCCAGGUGCAUCUGGUCUCCAACCCCACAUGCCCACUAGGGUGGCUGCCCCCUUCCAGGUGUCUUGUGACUUUGGCACUACAUGAAGAGUUCUAUCCUUGUGAAGUCUACCGAGGAAGUAUAAGUUAGUAUAACGUGUCAAUGAUAGCCCUCUUAUAAACGUUUCCGGAUUUAGAAAAGACUCAGCCAUCUCAAAGGCAUGACUCUAAGCUUUGUUACCCAAUGAAGUCAUUUCUAAAUGCUAUAUUCCAUGCUCAGAGCAUCCAUACAAACGGCUCAAAUAAGCCAUCAGAUCCGUGGUUUCUCAUAAUUUGAAACCUCAUAAUUUUACAACAAACUCAGGGGACCAUUAGAGAGAGAGAACAAGAAGUUCACCA